rnacentral:rRNA from 1 species
AGAAUCAACGCUGGCGGCGUGCCUAACACAUGCAAGUCGCACGAGAAAGGGGAGCAAUCCCUGAGUAAAGUGGCGCACGGGUGAGUAACACGUGAAUAAUCUACCUCCGAGUGGGGAAUAACUGAGAGAAAUCUUAGCUAAUACCGCAUAACACUUACGAGUCAAAGCAGCAAUGCGCUUGGAGAGGAGUUCGCGGCCGAUUAGUUAGUUGGCGGGGUAAUGGCCCACCAAGACGAUGAUCGGUAUCCGGCCUGAGAGGGCGCACGGACACACUGGAACUGAAACACGGUCCAGACUCCUACGGAGGCAGCAGUGGGGAAUUUUGCGCAAUGGGGGAAACCCUGACGCAGCAACGCCGCGUGGAGGAUGAAGCCCCUUGGGUGUAAACUCCUUUCGAUCGGGAAGAUAAUGACGGUACCGAUAUAAGAAGCCCGGCUAACUUCGUGCCAGCAGCCGC